CAAUGAAGAAGCGUUACAGAGAGCUGUAUGAUCUAAAUAGAGAUCUUAUCAACGAGUAUAAAAAUCCGCUCCAACAAUCACAGUGCCCUGCUGGCCUGCCUCAAGUCAGUGAAUCAGGCUAUACAGCGGGUUGGUAGACUCAGAGUGGGUAAGCCCAAGAACCAAGUAAUCUCUGCCUGUCGAGACGCCAUCAAGAGCAAUAACAUCAAUGCACUGUUCAGGACCAUGAGAGCUGGCACUGCAUCUUCCUGAUGGUGAAAGAAAGGGGAUCCAAGAAUAGAGGAAGAGAUGCACACAAGCAUAGUCGACACAAGCACUGUAACACUGGAUAUACUGCAGAAUCAUGAGCCUGGUGCAGGAAUACAACCUUGCACUGUGUAAUUGAGACGCUGUUGUAGCCUUAAACUAACUAGCUGUUACAUUUGACACCAGCUUCUUCAAACAUAACAUUCUGCAAGCACAAAAAUAUGCUGAGCACAGAUUUAGUAUACUGGGGGAAAAAAGUUAGUUUAGCUAUGUGGCUUUUAGGACUGUCAACUGUUGACAUUAGAGUAGAGGUUAGCCGCCAUUAAAAACUAAACAAUUUCUAGACUACAGCUGGACCAAAACUGGGAGUGGCGUUUCUCAAAGGCGAUGAAACAAAAAUUGCCUUAACAUGGUGAUGCUGGGGAAAAAUGGAUUCUAACUUUGAUUUAAAAGGUCCAAGAUGUUAAGAAUGUGUAAUGGAAGUUCUAGAUUAUGUUGCACGGUUGUCAUAAGAACAACUGCUUCAGCAAUGAUUUGAGUGUCAGCAUUCUGCUUAAUUCAGCUGACACGUGAUGUUUAGAGAGUGCAUACCUAGAACAAAACGGAGAGAGCAGCCACCGCUCAUAUAAGAGCCGUGCCAGUGAAUUCACCAGUGGCCCAGAUCACUGUGUAGUGACAGUUCACUCAGACUCAGGUCUUACCGCCGUUGUGUGUUUGCAUUUGUUUAGCCAAAGAACUAUAAUAAAUGAACAAAUAUCACAGACUUACACUGUGUAUAUAACUUAUUUACGUUUGUAGUCUGAGCACAGCUUGUAAUUGUUUGUUUGUGUCAGAAACUGUUUUAAAAUUGUUUGGGUUGUGUAACUGUUGAUUUUGUUGUUGUAAUCAAAUAAAACUGAUUUCUUUUCAGAAAA